rnacentral:rRNA from 1 species
CCUACGGGAGGCAGCAGUGGGGAAUAUUGGACAAUGGGCGAAAGCCUGAUCCAGCAAUGCCGCGUGAGUGAUGAAGGCCUUAGGGUUGUAAAGCUCUUUUACCAGGGAUGAUAAUGACAGUACCUGGAGAAUAAGCUCCGGCUAACUCCGUGCCAGCAGCCGCGGUAAUACGGAGGGAGCUAGCGUUGUUCGGAAUUACUGGGCGUAAAGCGUACGUAGGCGGUUAUUCAAGUCAGAGGUGAAAGCCUGGAGCUCAACUCCAGAACUGCCUUUGAAACUAGAUAGCUAGAAUCUUGGAGAGGUGAGUGGAAUUCCGAGUGUAGAGGUGAAAUUCGUAGAUAUUCGGAAGAACACCAGUGGCGAAGGCGACUCACUGGACAAGUAUUGACGCUGAGGUACGAAAGCGUGGGGAGCAAACAGGAUUAGAUACCCUGGUAGUCCACGCCGUAAACGAUGAUAACUAGCUGUUCGGGCUCUACGAGCUUGAGUGGCGCAGCUAACGCAUUAAGUUAUCCGCCUGGGGAGUACGGUCGCAAGNUUAAAACUCAAAAUGAAAUUGACCGGG